rnacentral:rRNA from 1 species
UACGAAGGGGGCUAGCGUUGCUCGGAAUUACUGGGCGUAAAGCGCACGUAGGCGGCUUCUUAAGUCAGGGGUGAAAUCCUGGAGCUCAACUCCAGAACUGCCUUUGAUACUGAGGAGCUUGAGUCCGGGAGAGGUGAGUGGAAUUGCGAGUGUAGAGGUGAAAUUCGUAGAUAUUCGCAAGAACACCAGUGGCGAAGGCGGCUCACUGGCCCGGUACUGACGCUGAGGUGCGAAAGCGUGGGGAGCAAACAGG